UACGGAGGGUGCGAGCGUUAUCCGGAAUCCCUGGGUUUAAAGGGUGCGUAGGCGGCUCGGUAAGCCAGUUGUGAAAGCCCCUUGCUUAACGAGGGAGGUGCGAUUGAUACUGUCGAGCUUGAAUCGGGAUGAGGCAGGCGGAAUGUGGCAUGUAGCGGUGAAAUGCAUAGAGAUGCCAGAGAACACCGAUUGCGAAGGCAGCCUGCUGGGCCUGUAUUGACGCUGAGGCACGAAAGAGUGGGGAGCAAGCAGG
rnacentral:rRNA from 1 species